GGCGACGGUGGAUCGGCCAGCGCUCCGUGACCUCGAGGGUCUCGCCCGGCGCGAGGUUCAGCACCUCGCCGAUGACG
rnacentral:tRNA from 1 species